UUAAUCUUCUUUACAUAGUUCUUGCCAGCUCAUGCUCUGGCAUGGCAGGCUGCCUUUUUAACUUGAUUAGUGGCUUUCAUCACAGCCUCACUGGGAGGGGAGUCGAGGCUGGGGCGCGAGAUGAGGCAGUUGGGGAAAUAAUGCUGCUUUUCCAUCUGGGCUCCAGCGGGCCCUUGUGGAUGAAACCUAUCAAUCAUGUGAAAAAGGUUUAUCAGUGCUGCCAGAGCUGAGGAAAGAAUACGAGUUGUUCCCACCCGUGUUAUUAGCCCACCCUGUGGGCGCAGGGCUGAGGCCCGUCAGGAGUGCCCAGGAGGAAGGCUGCCACGGGUUGUGGUGGCCAUGGAGGUGCAGAGCCCUGAGCUGCUGCUGCCCCAUGGCCAUAGAUGGCAGUGCUGGACAGGCCUGCAAGGCCGCACCACAGGAGCAACAGCCCAGAGGGGUGGCUUUGUGGGCAGUCCUCAAACACUCCAAGCAGUCCUCUUCUGCCUCCCCGAAUCCUUCCUUGUCUUUAAAGACAACUCCAGAGUGCCAUUCAAGCUGUGGCACCCUGAGUGCUGUCCCUGCCAAGUGGGUGCUGCUCCCUGUCACGACAUGGCCCAGCCCGUGGUGUGGAUGCGGACAAAGGCCAGUCAGCUCUCACUGGGCCAAGCUCACAGAAGCAGUCAGGGGUGCCAAUUUAAUGCGAUACGGUACACUGCUUUACUCAAAUAAGGCCCGAUCCUACAGAAGUUCACCUUCAUUGCCACAAAGGACAGCAGAAUCACACCUGCAGCUGUUGAGCACAGGGCUGCAGGGUACUUCAGUCCCUGGACACUGAGGAAAGGCAAUUGAAUUGAACGAUCACAAAACAUCCUCUUGGACUGGAAGAGAUGUUGUAUGGCAAGAGAAAGAGGUUGGGUUCUAACAGCACAAAGACAGCUGAUCUCUGAUGAUAAAGUGACUUGUCAAUAGUGUGUUAAACAUUUUUUUAAAUAGUGGUUAAUGCCAGUGAGCUCCUUUUUCCUCUCUUGUUCCCAUCCAGCACAGAUCAAAAUCGUUGACCCAUUAAAGAAGGAAAGAUAUUCACAAGAGAAUGCCUUGCGGUGUCUUCUGGGAUGCAGUGUGGUCUCUGCCUUUAACAAUGCACAGCAGCGACGGCUCUUGUGCAGGUUACAGGAAGUUCUUAAAUAGGAAUGAAUGACAAACAAAGAGCCUAUUGAGUCUGCAACAGGGUACGUUUCUCAUCAUGUGAAUGUUUCAUGUUUGCCUGAGGAAAAUGGCUAUGUGAUUCACUGUAGGUGAACUGCUGUUAAUACAUUUGGUUAGAAAAUUAAAAUUUGGAAACUUAUUUUUCAUCUUUC
rnacentral:lncRNA from 1 species